rnacentral:misc_RNA from 2 species
AAUUUCUACUAAGUGUAGAUGGAAAUUAGGUGCGCUUGGC